UGGAGGCAGAUCUUAUUUUUAAAAAAAGUGAUCUGGUCUUUGGAUAUCUUUAGAUAUAACUGCAAACCAGAGCAGGAUCCUCACCUGCCAAAAUUAUGGUACUUAAAUCCUGCUGUUGACAUCACUUAAGCUUAAAUCUGAAGUGAAGGAAAAGAAAGAGCAGGAGCAGUACAGCUGCUUCCGCAAUCUCCAGCUCUCAAGUUGAGAGGCCAGUAAACAUAAAGGACAACCAAAAGGCCACGAUACGUUGGCACGUUACCAUGGAAACUGGCAAUAAAACGUACAGCUUUCCGAUUUGACUGCUGUGUAAAAACUUCACUGAGCAGCCUGGUUUUGAAAUACUGUAACCAGUGGGUGAGGCACAGCUGACCUUAAUUGAAAUCCCAGCCAACAUCUCCUACUGAGCCCUGACAGUUCCCAAGAGAGCAGUAGGAGAGAUAUUAGAGCAACAUGCUGCUGGAAGCUUAUCA